UACGUAGGGUGCGAGCGUUAAUCGGAAUUACUGGGCGUAAAGCGUGCGCAGGCGGUUUUGUAAGCCAGAUGUGAAAUCCCCGGGCUUAACCUGGGAAUGGCAUUUGGGACUGCAAGGCUGGAGUUUGGCAGAGGAGACUGGAAUUCCUGGUGUAGCGGUGAAAUGCGCAGAUAUCAGGAAGAACACCAAUGGCGAAAGCAGCUCUCUGGGACGGUACUGACGCUGAGACGCGAAAGCGUGGGGAGCGAACAGG
rnacentral:rRNA from 1 species